UGGAUAGCUCAGUCGGUUACGAGUGUGGUACUGAUAAUGCCAAGAUUUUAGGUUCAAUCCCUGUGUGGGACAA